rnacentral:lncRNA from 1 species
AAUCAAGUAAGCUGAGGCGCACUCGAGCUAGGACCUGCACCGAAAGGGCGCAUUAGGCAUGAGUACGGUCCACUUGUACUCAUUAGGUAUCAUAGGCUGACUAAGCAAAGUAGUAAAUAAGGCAUACAAAAUAUACACUAAGGGCACGUCACCUGCAAUCAGAAAAUGUCCCACAAUGGUAGCCCACACCACUUGCACUAACA